rnacentral:rRNA from 1 species
CCUACGGGAGGCAGCAGUGGGGAAUAUUGCACAAUGGGCGCAAGCCUGAUGCAGCAACGCCGCGUGAGGGACGACGGCCUUCGGGUUGUAAACCUCUUUUAGUAGGGAAGAAGCGAAAGUGACGGUACCUGCAGAAAAAGCACCGGCUAACUACGUGCCAGCAGCCGCGGUAAU